UACGUAGGGUCCGAGCGUUGUCCGGAAUUACUGGGCGUAAAGAGCUCGUAGGUGGUUUGUCGCGUUGUUCGUGAAAACUCACAGCUCAACUGUGGGCGUGCGGGCGAUACGGGCAGACUGGAGUACUGCAGGGGAGACUGGAAUUCCUGGUGUAGCGGUGGAAUGCGCAGAUAUCAGGAGGAACACCGGUGGCGAAGGCGGGUCUCUGGGCAGUAACUGACGCUGAACAGCGAAAGCUAGGGGGAGCAAAACGGG
rnacentral:rRNA from 1 species